rnacentral:rRNA from 1 species
GAAAUGCGAUAAGUAAUGUGAAUUGCAGAAUUCAGUGAAUCAUCGAAUCUUUGAACGCACCUUGCGCUCCUUGGUAUUCCUUGGAGCAUGCCUGUUUGAGUGUCGUGAAUUUCUCCAACUUGAGCUUUUGCUUAACGCGGGUCCAUGGGUUUGCAACUCGCGUUGCUCACCUUAAAUACAGUAUGCUGGACAACCAGUGAGUUGCUAAUUUCAUUGCUAACUUGCGUAAAUGUUGUCUGCUGCCAAUCACGGCGUGGGGCUAACCCCCCAACCAACGUGUGCCUCGUGCACACCUUACUUUCUGACCUCAAAUCAGGUAGGACUACCCGCUGAACUUAAGCAUAUCAAUAAGCGGAGGAAAAGAAACU